UGUAUUCAUAAUUUUGCAUUCUUUUCCUUUGAAGGUCCCCAACGCUUGGAGUGUAACUUGAGUGGAGUACCUGUUUUCCUUUACUUCUCCCACCUAGACCUGAGUGCUUCUGGCCCUGAAACAUGUGCAAAUUCAUCACAUGCUGGAGAGCUACGAUGCACCUUCUCUGCCCCAGCUAGACCUCCUAUUUGCAUGGUGGUUUUUAGUUUCAAAGCUCUUUCAAUAGUAUUGCCUCAUUUAAUCCUCCUACUAAUUCUUCAAGGAGGGCUGCAGGAACUUGGAGUACUACAUGUAAUAACAUACUGGUCAUCACUCUUGGCAAAUAUUGAAAGCUUCACUUGGUCCCUGACACCUAAAGGAUAAAGAAGAGCUUGAUGAUCUGAUGUGAGGACCCGGCUUGGGGAUGACGGCAGAUCCUAUCUCCCUUCUCUCCAGUCUCAAUUCUAGCAAGCAGCAUCUUUCAGCUUAUGUUGGGGAGUGAAGCAGGAUCUGUGACCUAGGACCGAAGCUGGCGCCUGGCGGGACGACUCAGACACCAGACUUUGGACCACAAUACCAUCAACUAUUAGUGUCUGUCUCUCCAGGAUCCCUAGCAACUAAUGUUAUUUUUAGUGACUGACUCUUUAAUAUGUACUGCUUGUGAAUAUGAAUUUAAAUGUUAUGUCCAGGGCACACAGCAGUGCACACAGCACUAGCAGUUGGGGCAAUUGAGGUAUUAAUUUUCUACUCGGUAACUCGCAUCGUCAUCCACAACCUGCAGAGCAAAGCCCAAACUCUGUACCGCAGCACUCAAGACCCUCUAUUAGCUGACUCCAUCCUAACUGCCUAGUGCCAUGUUCCAGUCACAGGACCUGGGGUCCUGUCAUACAGACAUGUUCCAUUUCCAAAUAAGCCAUGCAGAGCUCUGCAUCUGUGCUGAGCUGCUCCUUCGGCCGAGAAGGUCGUUUCUGUCUUCUGUGGCUGAAACUCAUGCUCCCUCAGGGUCCACAGCUGUGUACUAAGUGCUGGUGCUGGCACAGUGAUGCACGUCCUUCUCACAUCAAACUCGGACAGGGCUAGGGUGUGGCCUCAGAACAGCCCACUUCUCCUUAGCAGCACAUUAUCUGUCAUCUACUUAUGAGUUCAAAAGUGGAGAUGACAGAAACAAGGAAAUAAAAGUGCAUCUUCAACAUAAGAGGAAGUGCACAGUCUCACUCAUAAUAAGAAAAAUGCUAAGUAAAAAUUCCAGCAAGAUACAGUUUCUAAUCCAGCAGUUUGGCGGAAAGAAGAGAAGUUGGAUGAAACAACUAUGGUCAGGCUGUCAGAAAAAGGGCAUUUUCGUGUAGAAUUGGAAGGUUUGUAAAUGUGUAAAACCACUGAGGAUGACUAUCUCGAAAUACCUAGUAAAUUAUAAAUACACCCUAUCCUUUGACCCAGAAAUUCCACUUCUAAGAAUAUAUCCUACAUAUAGCAGUACACAUGGGAA